GGGGAUGUAGCUCAGUGGUAGAGCACAUGCUUUGUAUGCAUGAGGUCCUGGGUUUGAUCCCCAGCAUCUCUA